rnacentral:lncRNA from 1 species
ACGGUACAGUCUGAGCGGGAUUCCUGUGUAUUCAUACCGGGAUCCCUGUUUGUUGACGAUCCAAAAUGGCGGACGAAGUGGUCGGAAGGCUGUAGCUAUUGUAGCAAAGAUUUAAUACUAGGAACGUUCUGGACUGAAGAUGUAUAUACUCUCUUAACUCCCUCAUUACACCAGAUGCGUAUGUCGUUAAGAAACGGCCGUUCUCCUUAAAACAUGUCCUGUUAUGACUAAGUGAAAGGCCACAAACAAAACAAUUAAAGCUUGAAGGUGUCCCAUACAUUUUCAAAGCAAUUUAUGACACUGGUAUUGUGUGAAAACAAACGACUUUUUAGCUUUGAGGUCAAACGUGUGGAAAAGAAACUUUGUACCUGCUAUUAAUAUUGUAAUAACCAGCAUUAUUAAAAACAGAAGUGUGAUCUGGAUUACGACAAUUAAUAACGACUCAAACAUUGGAAAUAACAUUGCCAAAAAUAGUUAUAUCAAUACCAUAUCAGCAUGUACUGAUUUCAUUGGUAAUUUCUGGAAACGGCAUUAAAAAAUGUUUUAACCUUA